UCAUUUUCAUCCUCAGCUGGGACCGCCUCUGAGACAGCACAUACUUCCUUGUUUGAGAAACAGCAGAGGGGCUGGUGUGGUUGGAGCAGAAUGAAUGAGAGAGAUGGACGGGACAUAUCGUGUGUCGACAUUAUUCUGAGAAAGAUGGGAAUUGUUGAGUGUCACUAGCCUACAGAUUCUCUGACAAGCCUAAAUAUCGCCAGCAAUACCAAGACAGCAAAACUGAUGAAUUCCUACUAUUCAGCUUCCUGCAAAAGGACCCACCCAGGAAUGUUUGGGGAUUUCUGUGUAACCUGGAGAUAGCCACUAAGUUCUGGAGCUCUUUGAGAUUCCUCGGACCUUUACAGUAUGCCGAACAUAAUUUCUAAUUAAUCUAAGGAAUUUAAGAACUAAGUUACUUAAUAAAAGAGCUCUUAUACCUGGAUUAAGGUAUCAGACCAAGAGGAAAGCAUCAAGACUUGGUGGGAUGAUGUAAAAGGAUGUUGCGUAAGAAUCUGAAGUCAUUACCCACUGACGGAUCACAAAAGGGCUCUGUUCCUUGUUCCUGCAAGAUUGCAGAGGAUUUCACAACAGUGAUGGGUAUAAGCGCAAGACUCAGGGACUCCGGGACAUGAUUUCAGCCUCCAUCAUGUACUAGUUACUAGAUGGGGAAAUUAUAAAUACCUGGUCUCCAGGAACCGAAACUGUAGCAGCAGUUGGACACUAUGAGUUUUGAGAGAGAAGAAUCUUUAUGUUGUUUGAAUCCUGAACAGAGUCGAAGAGAAGAGUAGAAGCUUGGGAUGAGGAAAAUCGGAGUUUCCUUUUUAUUCCUCCUUUUUUGUGUGUAUGGCUGGAAAUUUAGAGUAGAUGGUAGCCAGUUUGCAGUAAACUGUCUCCCCCUGUGGUUCUUUGGUGCUGUAUUCAGAUCCUGAUUAUUCCUGAACACCUGGUUCAUGGGCCACGUUUUGUACAAAACCGUCCUGAGCUAUCCCAGUCAGCUCAUACUACCCUCAAC
rnacentral:lncRNA from 1 species